GUGCUUGCUUCGGCAGCAUAUAUACUAAAAUUGGAACAAUACAGAGAAGAUUAGUAUGGCCCUUGUGCAAGGAUAACUUGCAAAUUUGUGAAGCAUUCCGUAUUUUU
ensembl:snRNA U6 U6 spliceosomal RNA